rnacentral:rRNA from 1 species
AACGAACGCUGGCGGCAUGCCUAACACAUGCGAGUCGAACGAGACCUUCGGGUCUAGUGGCGCACGGGUGCGUAACGCGUGGGAACCUGCCCUUAGGUUCGGAAUAACUCCCCGAAAGGGGUGCUAAUACCGGAUAAUGUCUUCGGACCAAAGAUUUAUCGCCUUUGGAUGGGCCCGCGUUGGAUUAGCUAGUUGGUAGGGUAAAAGCCUACCAAGGCGACGAUCCAUAGCUGGUCUGAGAGGAUGAUCAGCCACACUGGGACUGAGACACGGCCCAGACUCCUACGGGAGGCAGCAGUGGGGAAUAUUGGACAAUGGGCGAAAGCCUGAUCCAGCAAGGCCGCGUGAGUGAUGAAGGCCUUAGGGUUGUAAAGCUCUUUUACCCGGGAUGAUAAUGACAGUACCGGGAGAAUAAGCACCGGCUAACUCCGUG